AGAAACUGCCUGAUAUAGAAACAGGAUGAUGUGUUUGUUUUGUUUUGUUAGGGGGGAAAAUAUAGCAUGUGGCACGAGUCCCCUCAAGGAACACCAGAACCAGAAAGAGAAACUCUGUUCUAAUCCACCGUCCCUCCAGGGCCUCUGAGACAGGACCACAGGAGGCUGAGAUGAGACACGGGGAGAAAACUGGCUCUCAAAUGUGUGCACUGCCUUUUUGCUUGCUCUUUGACAAGGGACAAAGCAGCUUCUGGUCACCCGAGGAAAACACAGAGGCCUGACAUCUAACAGCCCUGGAGAAACUGAGUCUUGCCAACAACCACAGGAAUGGGCUUGGAAGCAGACCCUUCCCCAGUCAAGACUUCAGAUGAGGCCACAGCCUCAGGCUGAUCCUUGAUUCAAGCCUAUUGAGAGACCUUUAAGCAGGAAUUGGACUAUGAUGUGCUCAAUUUCUGACUCUCAUAACUGUGAGAUAAUAAAUGUGUGUUGUUUUUAGCCCUAAGUUUGAGAGUAACCUGUGACACAGUGGUAGACUGGCAGAUAACUGAUGGAGGAACUCUGCUUCAUGCCAACAUUUAGGAACCCAGACUGAUGGAGAUUCUAUUGUUUUCAUCGAAUGACUUCAAGGUCCUUUGGUGUCAGCAUCCAGGCAGCAGUUGGGGGAUGAGAAACAGUGGAGGACCAAGUGUGAUGAGGAGGCUAGCCUGAGAGACGCAGGUUCCCUUUAGUCACACUAAGUCGCAUGCUCUCUCUUAUCUAGGUGAAAUGUAGCCAGCCGCUGGCUGGGCAUC